ACACCGGCGGCCCGAGUGGUGGCCACUAUUAUUGGGUCUAAAGGGUCCGUAGCCGGUUUGGUCAGUCCUCCGGGAAAUCUGAUGGCUUAACCAUUAGGCUUUCGGGGGAUACUGCCAGGCUUGGAACCGGGAGAGGUAAGAGGUACUACAGGGGUAGGAGUGAAAUCUUGUAAUCCCUGUGGGACCACCUGUGGCGAAGGCGUCUUACCAGAACGGGUUCGACGGUGAGGGACGAAAGCUGGGGGCAC
rnacentral:rRNA from 1 species